CCAAGGUCGGGAACAAGGUAAGAUUUUUAUUGCCAUAGGUUUCAUAGUGGAUGGCAAAAGCCAUCAAACAGAUUGAAAUAGCAGGGGAAUUUAUCUAGAAAAUGCUGUCUUACAAGCUAUGAGAAUAUGGAAUGGUAAAAAUCCCUGUUCAAUGAGGGGUCAAGAGAGAUAUUUAACCUUUCAUGGACUGUACACAUGCAAAAACUUGUGUUAGAUGGUUACAAGCUUGAAAGAAAGCUGACCCAUUUUGAUGUUUAAAAUAUUCUGAGACUUCCAUGGAGACUUAUCUGAUGCCACCUAUAUAUAAUGACCUAGAUUUUAAAAACAGUUGGGAAGCAGACGUCUGGAAAUCUGCUGUGAAUUUUAACAUUUUCCAUGCAAAGAUUGAGUGCAAACUUGCAGUUUAAUUUCACUUACAAAAGACUAAAACGCUUUUAGGACUUCCCAGUUAUAUAAUUAGGGGAGAUGACCAUGAAGUGACAACGGAGCCAUCCUUUCCCAGCCAGAUUCCUGCCUUAAAGGACGCUCAGGUUCAUCAAAUUCACCUUAGCGAAUCACAGUCUCCUUAUACCUUGGGUGAGGACUCCUCUCCUCUGAUGGUCACAGAUUGUAAUGUUUCAUUGCAAGCACAGCUGGCUGUUUUGGGCGGUUUACAUGCAGGGCUGCACCUGCUAGACUGGAUGCUAAGAAAGGAGAUGUGUUCUGAGAGAUACAAAGAGAUUAUCUGAUCCGUGAUGGAUUGCGUGGCCCAAAGACCAUCCUGUGUGACCUCCUGAUGGUGAAUAUUGUUUACUCCAUGACUUGCAGUCGGUGUUGACUCUGUACCACACCAGGUCUACAGCUUUGUACCUAGCUCGCCUCGGCUGGCCAUUCUGAGAACCUCCUACCAAGAUUUCCUGUUGACUCCAUUUUAAAGGAGCUCUGUCUUUUCUCCAGUGAGUGGAAGUUACUGAGACCCACUGAGUGCUGCUGCCUGAGUUCAGUUAGAAGAGUAAACCUGCAAUUCCUUCCAGCUUCUUUGCUUGUAGAUAGAGAGGAAGGAGGAUGCUAACUUAAUAACUUCUCCCCAUUGUGCCCCAGAGGUUAGGCACCUUGCCAUGUACAGAUGUUAUCAAAAAUGGAAUCAUUUUAUAAAUAAACUGUGAAUUAACAACAGUGUGGAUAAAUGUAUGCUUUGGUUCAAGACUGAUGUAUUCCAUUCUUUGAGAACGUUCUUUAAAUAAACUGAAUGUUUUCAUUUUGUACUUUGUUAUGAUUUAUCACAUUGUAGUUUAUUUAAGUCUUUCAAUGCUCUCUCUUCCAUUUGCUGAACUUUAGAUAUGGAAUUAAAACACGCUUGACUGCACAGUCUUCCUUCAUAUUUGAAGAAGAAGCCAUGUAGCUAUUACAAUGGAUUAAGACAUCCUACAUUAAAACCCUGUCACUUUUGCAACUGCAUUUAUGCAACAAGACAACAGUAGCUAAUGGGUCCAUCUAAGACACUGAAUUGAAUGGACAAUUUCUUCAUAGCUGUGGUAAUUAUGAAUACUCUGAAAAAGGCUGCUUUGCCAGUUGUAGCCCAAGAAAAUUGAAUACUGUUCUCUUGUAGAAAAUGCUCUGCAAGUAUUCAGCCAUCUUAUUCCAUUACAUGCCAUUACAAAAAAAAAGAGUGAGUUGUUUAUUCAUUGGAAGUUUAUGCACAUACACUACAUCUUUUGAAAGUCCAUAAAUACUGCUUUAGCCUGCUUUCUGUUGAAGGCACAGGCUCAAGCUAAGAACCUUUCUAAAGGAUGACUUCUCCAUUUAUCCACUAUGGACAGCCCAUAGCACUAAUAGAUGCAUAAUCAUAAAAACUCAAUGAUCUCCAACUCUUUCAUAUAGGAUUCCAACAGCCACCUUUGCUCUCUGGACUCAAGGCAUAACAGAGUCAUGGGCAGAUCCGCCCAUCUGCAGGAAAGGGUUUCUUUUGGGGGAUAUCCCCCAAAACAUCAGGACCAAACUCUCAAGUCUGUUCAAACCAACUUUUUCAAGAAGUAGGGUUUUCCAGGAAAGAAUGUUAAUGAUAUUAAGGUAUCUUCACAAUAAAACUCCUUCUGGUGUUACCAAACAUAUCAACUUCCAUUUGGUAUUUAGUUAUGCCUUCAACCAUUUAUUUACCCUCUAGUAAUGAUUCAUAUAACAAUAUAGUGCUGCCAAGUGAAUUCCAUUACCAUGGGGAUAUUUGCAGAUAUUUUAAAUAGUUGAGAUAAAUACAAUAAACUAGAAAAACACCAAGAAAUAAAUUGAUAUAAAAUGGGAGAUCACUGCCUUGCAAACCAGAAUUCAAUACAGUGAAUUUUUGGACCAGCUAGCCAACACAACAAUAACUCCAGGAGCUGCUUAACAAUGCACUACAGGUGGAACAAUACCAGAAUUCUUUUUGCAAUAAAUUAGUCAAAACACUUUUUAAAGAACGGUAAUGUUGGGAAGUAUUUGCUUCCUACACAGCUGAACCCUCUUUUGAUAACAUUCAGUUCUCCAGCUAGGUGUUCAAGGAAAUAAAGAACACCCAGCAAGUAGCAUGUAAGUGUCAUGUCCAAUCGACUAUUUCUACCACAGUGCCUUUGGCGAAGAUGAGUAAUAUCUGAAAACAGGCAUAGGCAUUAGAAAUACUAGUAUAUUCAUAAAACAGAAAGUCAUGCAAUUAGGCAUUCCAGGUACAUCUAUACAUAUAUAUAUAUAUAUACACACACAUAUAUAUGAAGUGGUUUCAUUUAGUAUAUUAUAAACCAGAGGUGUUCCAUGCACUCCAUACAGCACAAGAUUAACUAUCAAAAACUGCUGUCAGGGUAUAACCAAACAGUAUAUGCUUCCCAUGUAUUUGACCACAGUUUUUAACCAUGUCUUUUUACAGAACGUUAGGCAUUCCACUGGACUGUUAGGGGGAAAAAAAAAAGUGUUGGCAAGGAGUUUAGAAAUGCCCUGUGUAGGAAGGCUCCAUGCUGCCAGUUAAUCCAAGAAGGAUUCUUAAUGACCUCAUGAUCCAGAAGUUAUUUCAAAAAACAUAUCUAUGAUACUAUGAAAAUAACCCCAACCUUCAUUUUUCGGAAACUAAUGCAGAUUAUGUAGUUUGCAUUAAAAUUUAUACACUGUAAGGAGUGUGCCUGAAGUUUGGCUCUGUAACAAGCACAUAAUUUCUUCAAAAACUCUCUAAUACUUUACCUUUCUGUUAUUACAACAAUACAAGAACCUUCCUUGUCUAGAAGACCAAGGGUAUGUCUUAGGUUAUGCUAAUGGAUCUAUUUUGAAACAAGCUCUUGAAAUAUUCUUGGCUUAUAUAGUGGAUUCAUCAUCAAAAAGACCAUUAUCUUCCAUUAUGAAUCCCAAAU